AGAGAAGAACUACCCAAGACUCUAGGAGGAGGAGGAGGAGGAUGCUGACAAUUUUGACCUGUUAAGCUUGCCAAGUGGACAAAUGAAAGCAGGCCCCCCCCGAGGACUUAGUGGAGAGAAGUGACACCAGGUCUGGGCUGCGGCUGGGAGGAGGAUGACGCGGUUGCUUCACUUCAACACAACAACACGGCACGGCCGCUCGGAGCAGGCAGAUCCCCAGCGCUACUGAGGGCCGGGCCCAGGAGCGAUGCUGGCCCGGGGAGGGCACAGCACGUUCGCUGGGGUCUCCCCAUCUCUCCCCACGUACAGUGGGGGAGGGGGCUCUGAGCCCGGUACAAUUACCCCCCCGCUCCGUGCCCCCCCCUCAACAUACACCGCAGC